GACCUGUACCUGAACAACCCACUGGACAACCAACCUUCACUCCAACUUAGCACAGAGGAAGAUGAUGAUGACAAACAUGCACAGCAGGAGGAACAAAUUGAUCUUGAUAAUUGUGCAAGAAACUCUCGAAAGCGCAAACUAGAUUCCCCAGAAGUGUGUCCUCCAUCAAGAAAAACCAGAACUUCCACAGAUGCUCCCAGUAUCUUGAGACAAAGUUCAACAAAAAAGUCACUUUUCAAGGGUAGUACCAAGGAAGCUCCGAUCCUCCAGAAGUCACGAGACCUCCCGAUCACCCUUCCUACUACACAGGAGUCCCACAAGCCAUGCAAGGUGCACAAGCCAGUACCGUCAUCCUCAAAUGAGACCCCUGAGAAAGACAGCGUGUAUCCGUCCAAGCAAGCCUUGCGGCAGGCGAUCUUGAACCUGAAGUAUCCUCCCAGGCAACUGAAGGCCCUCAUUAACAUAUAUGCAAAACAUCAACAACCAGGGAUGGAGGGCUGAUGGUACUGAUUGUGGAUGACUGAAAGUGUGAAAUCUCAAACCAGAGCUCAAAUGACCUCAAUGAACAGAUGAGCUACUCUACCACUGGUUGUGACAGAGAGGACUGACACUGUGUACAGUAUUUAUUGGUUCAUUGUACCGGGGAAAUUCCCACAACUCUUUUCAACAAGCACAAUGAACAUAGACGAAUUUGCAGAGAGGACAGAAGAGACACAGGAGCUAUUAUAUAUAUUAUUAUUAUUAUUAUCAAUAUCGCUGGAUACCAGGCUACAAUGAACGGUGGACCACAACUUAAUAUCGUGGUCUAAGGACUUCGACCCUUUCCGUCAGUGUGCAUGUCGGGGGAGCAACAGCCAGAAUUUGAACUCACAGCUUCUAGUUUCAGAGGCAGGGCUGCUAACCACUGGACUGCACAUACUGCUAAUAGUGCUAUGUAUGUGCAUGUAAGUUCAGUUAUUGAAGUGCAAUAAUAUCAGAUUGCUAUAUUUUGCAAUUUCCAGACUGAAAUUGCACUGCGGUAAAGUUUCCAAAAACAAGAUUGGAAGAUGUAAACUAUAACUCAAAAGACAUCAGUGCUUAUAUUUUACCUCAACCUCUAACCCAGAGUAUCAGUCUUUGAUGUCGUUAGGUAGUGUUCAAAAAUGAUUUCUGUACAUAUAGAGUUACAGCAUUUUAUGAGCCAAGGUGAAAAGUUCUACAGUUUUUGUACGGCUCUUGUAUCAUACUGAAAGUUUGAAAAAGAUGUGUAGGAAAUAGUGAAAAUUAUACGAAAGAAGUGAUGAUAUUUAUAAACCAAGUUUGUAUAGAAGAGUUUCAAUUUUCAGAUUAUUGAUUGAUUUCAUUUCAAGACAACUUAGUAGCCUCUUCAACUUUCAAAAGUUGAUUUCCAAAGGGGCCCAGUAAAUACGACAACAAGACAUGUAACAUUCAUGCAGGAGACAAAAGUUUAAAUGAUCAA